AUGAUUUAAUGAGAAUUAUACUUUCUUUAUUUUUAUAGAAGAAUUUAAUUUAUAAGUUAAAAAGCUUAUAUAUAUUUAAAAGACGAGAAGACCCUAUAGAAUUUUAUUAUAGUUUAUAUAUAUUUAUAUUUGAUUAUAAAAAGAUAUAUAUAAUAUAUAAUUUGGUUGGGGCGAUUAAAAAAAUUUAAUAACUUUUAUUAUUUUUAUACAUUUAUAUAUGUAAAUUUGAUUUGAUUAUUAAUUAUUAUAAGAUUAAAUUACCUUAGGGAUAACAGCGUUAUUAUUUUAAAGAGAUCAUAUCGAUAAAAUAGUUUGCGACCUCGA
rnacentral:rRNA from 1 species